GGGGACGGCCCAGAGGUCUGACCUAUUUAUACCCCAGCCAGGCCCUGCCCAUAGCAGGGGACAGGGGAGAGCGGAUACUGCCUUCCUGCUGUGGGCUGAUGCGGUAAGUGCCACAGCACCCUCCACCAGCCCAGCCGUGGAACCAAGCCUCCUGUUCCCAGGUGGGCACCCGUGGGUAACGGCGCCCUGCGUAUUCCUGGAAGGUGCACACGAUGGCAGCUACCGCCUGCUCCAGAGGCCUGGCCAUCCUCACUGUCACAGAACAAGGGUGUGGCUCACAGCAGAGUUCCAGGCCAGCCCCCCAGCUCACCUCUGCCCUCUGUGUUUCUCAGAGACUGUUCCCAGACCCAUCUUAACCUCCAUCAGGCUUCAGGCCCCGCAGUCUCCCCCUCCUCUGAGUAGCCCUCCCAGACCACACCAGCCCCUCCUAAUUUAUCCCCCUGCUGUCCUGUUGUUAUUUCCCCAUGUAGAGGUCUCAUUGCCCCAACAUCGCUGUAAACUCCUCAGAGAGACAGCAUCCUACCCCACCACCCACACACCCCACCGUGGGGCUCCUUAAGCACUCUCAGAUUAUCUGCCACCUCUUCUUAUCCCCAACACCCAGGGAUGGCUCGGUCCCAGUCUGCCCCAGCCCAUGAGAUGCCCUAGAAGCCUCCCUCCCUGCAGGAACUUGCACAAGGAGAGCCUGGCCCUGUGCUUCUCUGCCCUCAGCCCUUGGAGAAGCUAGGCCUUAGCAGGGAGGGGCAGGUCUGAGAGGCGCCCCCACAGCCUCACCACCACUGCCCUCACCCUGCCUCCUGCCCUGAACUCGAGGAAGCUGCACCCAGAAGAAAAACUUGUGGGAUCCUCUCUGCCUGUCGCCAGCUGUGCAACCUUGGAAGAGAACCCAAAACCUAGAAGAGCGUGAGAGGGAAAAGAGGAAGGAGAUUGACUCCCAGGCCGGCAAAGAAGCCUUCCUGCCCGUGCAGGCAGCCAGAGCGCCAGUGACACCUUCGACCUCGCCCUCGGCCCCCAGCACCCAAGCCUUGCCUGUGCCGUCCUCUCCUUGGAGACUCAGCCCUGUUGAGGAGGGGAGUGAGCAAUAGAGGAGGGAAGGAAAAGAGGAGCUGUGAUUAGCCCUGUUUUAUAAUGGGCUACAUAGCCCUGUUUUAUAUGGGCUUUUUAAUGGAAGUAUGGGGAGCAGGGGGCAGAGAACAAGAGACAGUCACGCAGCAGAAGGGGGGGCCAGAGUGCACCAGCAAUUAAUUCAGCUCUAGGUCGAGCUUAAUUAUUCCCACCUAUGAUAUCCCAGCUCUGCCCCCAGCCACCUCCCUUAAGCAGCCUACCUCUGCUCUCGGGGCUUCAUUUUACUCACCUGUCAGUGAUGGAGGGUGAUAAUAGUAACUACCUCAUAGGUUUGUGCG
rnacentral:lncRNA from 1 species